GGGUCGCUGGCCAGAUCAAUAAGAGUGUAAGGAGGUGCUUUUACCUCCAUUGUCACUGCAAUCGCUAAAGCUCGCCAGAUCCAAAACACCCUCAUCGAACACUAGGGUUCAAAAUUGCCUUAAAUCGAAGGCCCAUCGGGAUUACGAAUGACGAAAUCAGAAACGCUCUUCGAACGAUGAUAAGUGGAAAUCGAUGAUGAUGGGUUGUAAGGAUGUCGGCAAUCUGAUGGGGUAAUUCUAAGAAGAAAUAGAGAGAGAGAGAGGGGUCGCGCUAGCGGUUACCGGAGGGUGGAGGCAAUCUUUUGCGUAGAUCGGUUUAUCCAAGGAGAGUAUGGAAGACUCAGUACCAUCAUCGAUGGAUAGUUUUUCAACCUGUUCUCUUUAC
rnacentral:lncRNA from 1 species